rnacentral:tRNA from 1 species
GCACUGGUGGUUCAGAGCUAGAAUUCUCAUCUUCCAAGUGGGAAACCCAGGUUUAAUUCCCAGUCAAUGCA